GCAUUAGCAGCUCAUGCUUCAGCGCUCUGCGAGUGUUUAUAGCCCUGUGACUUUAACACUUCAUGACUGAGAGCUGCUGCUCAGCGACUUCACCCACAGCAACCAUGAGUUUGAUCAGCGUCUUCAUCUGCACACUGGCCCUCUGCGCUCGAGGAUCCAGAGGUCAGGUGACUGUGACUCAGAGUCCUGCAGUGAAAUCAGUUUCUCCAGGAGACACAGUCACCAUCAGCUGUAAAACCAGUACUCCUGUUUUCUUUGCUAGUAAUUUUGAUUGUUUGUCCUGGUAUCAGCAGAAACCUGGAGAAGCUCCUAAACUCCUGAUCUAUGCUGCUAACAGUAGAGAAUCAGGUGUUCCAGAUCGUUUCAGUGGCAGUGGGUAUGCAACUGAUUUCACUCUGACCAUCAGUGGAGUCCAGACUGAAGAUGUUGGAGAUUAUUACUGUCAGAGUUACCAUAGUGGUAACGUGUUCACACAGUGUUAGAGCGUCGUACAAAAACCUGUGUGAGUGUGACUGCUGCAGCUGGGACCUACUGCAG